rnacentral:rRNA from 1 species
UACGUAGGGUGCAAGCGUUGUCCGGAAUUAUUGGGCGUAAAGAGCUUGUAGGCGGUUUGUCGCGUCUGCCGUGAAAAUCCGGGGCUCAACCCCGGACUUGCGGUGGGUACGGGCAGACUAGAGUGUGGUAGGGGAGACUGGAAUUCCUGGUGUAGCGGUGAAAUGCGCAGAUAUCAGGAGGAACACCUAUAGCGAAGGCAGCUCGCUGGGACGACACUGACGCUGAGACGCGAAAGCGUGGGGAGCGAACAGG